rnacentral:rRNA from 1 species
AACAGAACUAUCACCCCCCUUUUGGGAUUGAACCCCCGCCCCAGAUUUUCUUCGGGGAGCCCCCAGGUGGGAAUUUUGGACAAUGGGGCCCAAGCCUUAACCCACCCCAUACCGGGUUUGUGAAGAGAGCCCUUCGGGGUUGAAAACCAUUUAAAGUAAGGAAGAAAAGGGUUUUGUUAAUACCAUUACUCCGGGACAUUACUUACAGAAUAAGGACCGGCUAAUUCCGUCCCAGCAGCCGCGGUAAUACGGAAGGUCCAAGCGUUAAUCGGAAUUACUGGGCGUAAAGCGCGCGUAGGUGGUUUAUUAAGUUGGGUGUGAAAGCCCCGGGCUCAACCUGGGAACUGCAUCCAAAACUGAUUCACUAGAGUACGAAAGAGGAAAGUAGAAUUCACAGUGUAGCGGUGGAAUGCGUAGAUAUUGUGAAGAAUACCGAUGGCGAAGGCAGCUUUCUGGUUCUGUACUGACACUGAGGUGCGAAAGCGUGGGUAGCGAACAGGAUUAGAUACCCUGGUAGUCCACGCCGUAAACGAUGACAACUAGCUGUUGGGAAGCUAUGCUUUUCAGUGGCGCAGCUAACGUCUUAAGUUGUCCGCCUGGGGAGUACGGCCGCAAGGUUAAAACUCAAAUGAAUUGACGGGGACCCGCACAAGCGGUGGAGCAUGUGGUUUAAUUCGAUGCAACGCGAAAAACCUUACCUACACUUGACAUACUUGGAAUCUUUUGUAAUGAAAGAGUGCCUUUUGGAGCCAAGAUACAGGUGCUGCAUGGCUGUCGUCAGCUCGUGUCGUGAGAUGUUGGGUUAAGUCCCAUAACGAGCGCAACCCUUACCCUUAUUUGCCAGCGAUUCGGUCGGGAACUAUAAGGGGACUGCCGGUGAUAAACCGGAGGAAGGUGAGGACGACGUCAAGUCAUCAUGGCCCUUACGUGUAGGGCUACACACGUGCUACAAUGGGGAGUACAGAUAGACGCUAAAGCGCGAGCUGGUGCUAAUCUCAUAAAACUCUUCGUAGUCCGGAUUGCAGUCUGCAACUCGACUGCAUGAAGUCGGAAUCGCUAGUAAUCGCGAAUCAGCAUGUCGCGGUGAAUACGUUCUCGGGUCUUGUACACACCGCCCGUCACACCAUGGGAGUGUAUUGCACCAGAAGUGGGUAGUCUAACCUUCGGGAGGGCGCUCACCACGGUGUGGUCCAUGACUGGGGUGAAGUCGUAACAAGGUAGCCAUA